GCUAUCCAUGUCAAGUUGGGUUUCCACCACUAGGGUUCUUUCAGUCUGAGUUCUGUCCCGAAGCAAGUGGUCCACACAAACGUGGCAACAGGAGGAAGUUUCACAAAGGGAUUACAGCCUUUUACAAAGGCGUGGGAAGGGUUGGGAGCAAAAGGAUACGAGGGUGUUUGGUGCAGAACUGCGCCCCCCGCCCUCCCCGCCUAAAGGGAAGAGGGCUGCCUGACUGGAACUGCAGCACUCUGAGCCAGAGUCAAGUGACCUUAGAUGGUACGCAGGCGCGGGUAAAUGGAAUACUUUGAUUCCAGUCUUCUUUUGUUGGCGUGUCGCCAGUGCCUCAGCUUGGCUGAACACCACCAGCAGCGCGCGCACUCCCGCAGCUCAGCUCUGCAUACCAGUAGAGUGAGCAGAGUGGAGAAGCAAGGAUAUGCAGGUGGGAGGUAUCCGACCAACAGAAGCUCAAUAAAUACUUGCAAACUGAGAAAGAAGUUAUCGCCCUGGACCCCACGUUCAGGGCUGCCAGUUAAGCGCGCAGACAUAACCUUGGACUCGUGAUUCCACCUCCCACUCCCUGGGAUUACAGAGACGUACCUGGCAGUAACUGAAAAUGUUUUGAGGCUAAACUAAAAGGCCAAACACGGACUGCCAAGUGAAGCAAACUGCUGUAGAAAACCGCAUGGAGACCAGAAAGAGCACGCUGGUUUUGGUAACAGCAAAAUGUUGCUCUGUGUGAAGAACUAGGAUCAACGCUCAUUCUCCCUCAAACUGUUGGCACAGUCCAUCAUGAAGCCACACUGCUGGGAAGCCACACUGCCCUACUUCUGUUUGAUGGAAGACUGAUUGAAUCUCGUUGCUCGCUGACUAUUAAA